rnacentral:rRNA from 1 species
AACGAACGCUGGCGGCAGGCUUAACACAUGCAAGUCGAAAGCCCCGCAAGGGGAGUGGCAGACGGGUGAGUAACGCGUGGGAACGUGCCCUUCGCUUCGGAAUAGCCCCGGGAAACUGGGAGUAAUACCGGAUAUGCCGUAUUGGGAAAGAUUUAUAGGCGAAGGAUCGGCCCGCGUUGGAUUAGCUAGUUGGAGGUGUAAUGGACCCCCAAGGCUACGAUCCAUAGCUGGUCUGAGAGGGUGAUCAGCCACACUGGGACUGAGACACGGCCCAGACUCCUACGGGAGGCAGCAGUGGGGAAUCUUGGACAAUGGGCGCAAGCCUGAUCCAGCCAUGCCGCGUGAGUGAAGAAGGCCUUAGGGUUGUAAAACUCUUUCGCCGGAGAAGAUAAUGACGGUAUCCGGAGAAGAAGCCCCGGCUAACUUCGUGCCAGCCGCCGCAGUAACAC